UCUACUUCUUUAUUCGCCGGUCGUCUACUCUAGGUUAUCAGUAUCGGUCAUCUCGGUGCCUAUCUGAUCCGAAACGUUUAUAUACAGUGACCUUCACCCCCAUUGCCUCCCCCGGAAUUGACGGGAGAUAAGUCGCCGCCUCUCGUUGGAUUCCUUUUCGUAGUAAUCGUAUUUGGACGAGUAGAUAUUAAAUAUAAUGACGUGGAUUUUGGUAA
ensembl:ncRNA C34G6.11 ncRNA